rnacentral:misc_RNA from 1 species
GUGGAGAUCUUCGUCUACCAACAACUUGCUAUCUGACUAAAUCCAUUCUCUUCUGAUAUUUUCUUGAACUUUAUUACUAGGUCUUGUACCAACUCUGGUUCUGCUAAAGUGGGGUUUUAGGAAGGUGGAGAUCUUCGUCUACCAACAACUUGCUAUCUGACUAAAUCCAUUCUCUUCUGAUAUUUUCUUGAACUUUAUUACUAGGUCUUGUACCAACUCUGGUUCUGCUAAAGUGGGGUUUUAGGAAGGAGUACAUUGUCUCAAUCGACUCAUUGAGGCAAUGUUGCCCUCCUCAUCAAGUAGAAGUACCUUUGGGACUUACCUGAGCAUUUUCUCGACCAAAGAACGUUUUGGUUGUGUGACUCUUUAACUUUAGCUGC